UACGAAGGGGGCUAGCGUUGUUCGGAAUUACUGGGCGUAAAGCGCACGUAGGCGGCUUUGUAAGUUAGAGGUGAAAGCCCGGAGCUUAACUCCGGAACUGCCUUUAAGACUGCAUCGCUUGAAUCAUGGAGAGGUUAGUGGAAUUCCGAGUGUAGAGGUGAAAUUCGUAGAUAUUCGGAAGAACACCAGUGGCGAAGGCGACACACUGGCCCGUUACUGACGCUGAGGCGCGAAAGCGUGGGGAGCAAACAGG
rnacentral:rRNA from 1 species